rnacentral:lncRNA from 1 species
UUGCUAUAAGGUUGUGGUUUUUUGAAAAAUAUGGCUAAAUGGGUGUGCAUAAAAUGUGUUUAUACUCAAUGGGUUGGUUUAUUUUAGUGGAAUUUGGUUUGGGUUUUUGUUGUUUUUACUUGCUUGGCUGUGAUGGGGUUGCUAGAAGCUUGUGGUUUUUGAAAAAUAUGACUAAAUGGGUGUGCAUAUAAUGUGUUAAAGCUCGAUGGGUUGGUUUGUUUUAGUGGAAUUUAAUCUUUUUUUGUACUGGCUGUGUUGGGGUUG